UACAGAGGGUGCAAGCGUUAAUCGGAAUUACUGGGCGUAAAGCGUGCGUAGACGGUUGCGUAAGUCAGAUGUGAAAGCCCCGGGCUCAACCUGGGAAUUGCAUUUGAGACUGCGUAGCUAGGGUGCGGAAGAGGGAAGCGGAAUUUCCGGUGUAGCGGUGAAAUGCGCAGAUAUCGGAAGGAACACCAGUGGCGAAAGCGGCUUCCUGGUCCAGCACCGACGUUCAGGCACGAAAGCGUGGGGAGCAAACAGG
rnacentral:rRNA from 1 species